rnacentral:lncRNA from 8 species
CUGGAGUGUCUGACAAUUUUUUGGGCCUUCUUUUGGGCCUUCCUCGGAACUUUUGGGCCUUCCUUUGGGCCUUCCUUUGGGCCUUCCUCAGAACUUUUGGGCCUUCCUUUGGGCCUUCCUUUGGGCCUUCCUCAGAACUUUUGGGCCUUCCUUUGGGCCUUCCUUUGGGCCUUCCUCAGAACUUUUGGGCCUUCCUUUGGGCCUUCCUUUGGGCCUUCCUUUGGGCCUUCCUCUGAACUUUUGGGCCUUCCUUUGGGCCUUCCUUUGGGCCUUCCUCAGAACUUUUGGCCUUCCUUUGGGCCUUCCUCGGAACUUUUGGGCCUUCCUUUGGGCCUUCCUUUGGGCCUUCCUUUGGGCCUUCCUCAGAACUUUUGGCCUUCCUUUGGGCCUUCCUCGGAACUUUUGGGCCUUCCUUUGGGCCUUCCUUUGGGCCUUCCUUUGGGCCUUCCUCAGAACUUUUGGCCUUCCUUUGGGCCUUCCUCGGAACUUUUGGGCCUUCCUUUGGGCCUUCCUUUGGGCCUUCCUCGGAACUUGUGGGCCUUCCUUUGGGCCUUCCUUUGGGCCUUCCUUUGGGCCUUCCUUUGGGCCUUCCUUUGGGCCUUCCUCACAACUUUUCUUAACAUAAUCACUGCACUAACACAUUCGACUGCAGCUAUCACACACACACACACACACACACACACACACACACACACACACACACACACACACACACACACACACACACACACACACACACAUAGCACUAACACGUACAUUCAACACUGUAAUUUCCAUCAUACCACUAUUGUGUACAUUAUGUACCCUACAUUAAAAUAUCACCCUACUGUAAUACAUCACCCUACUGUAAAACAUAACCCUACUAUAAUACAUCAACCUACUCUAAUACACCACUCUACUGUAAAACAUCACCUUACUGUAAUACAUCAGCCUACUGUAAUACAUCACCCUACUGUAAAACAUUACCCUACUGUAAUACAUCACCCUACUGUAAUACACCACCCUACUGUAAAACAUAACCCUACUAUAAUACAUCACUCUGCUGAAAUACACCACCCUACUGUAAAACAUUACCCUACUGUAAUACAUCACCCUACUGUAAUACACCACCCUACUGUAAAACAUCACCUUACUGUAAUACAUCACCCUACUGUAAAACAUAACCCUACUAUAAUACAUCACCCUACUGUAAUACACCACCCUACUGUAAAACAUAAUCCUACUGUAAUACACCAUCCUACUGUAAUACACCACCCUACUGUAAUACAUCACCCUACUGUAAUACACCACCCUACUGUAAUACACCACCCUACUGUAAUAAAUCACCCUACUGUAAUAAAUCACCCUACUGUAAUACAUCACCCUACUGUAAUACACCACCCUACUGUAAUACAUCACCCUACUGUAAUUAUCUUGUGGACUUCUAUUACCAAUUUCCCGUUGUGGAGGCAAGCCAUGUUCUUGCCAUCGUAUUGUCUGAGUAAGACUGUUAGCCAACGCAAUACUACUCUCUAA